AUGAAUUUGCUCGAGAGCUUCGGCGACGCUACGGGCCUGAAGAUAAACAAUGUCAAGUCAACGGCAACUCCGAUUUGCUGUCAAGAUAUUGAUCUCAGCACGGUACUCCAGUCUUUUGGGGGACCGAUCAUGCAAUUCCCGAUCAGAUACCUAGGGCUCCCACUCACAGUUGGCCGGAUUAGGCUAGUACAUCUUCAGUUCAUCCUAGAUAGAAUCCAGGCUAGAUUAGCAGGAUGGAAAGGGAGAAUGCUCUCCAUGGCCGGGCGUAGGGUGCUCGUCAGAUGCGUCCUCACCGCCAUGCCAACGUUUGCCCUUACAGCCCUUAAAAUCCUAGUAAAGCUGUUGAAAGAAAUAGACAAACGUAGACGCCGAUUCCUCUAUGGCCAGGAUCAGGAGCUCAGCGGCGGUAGCUGCAAGGUGAGCUGGACACGGGUUUGCUCCCAGAUCGACCACGGCGGCCUUGGCAUCCUCGAUCUUCCCAAGUUCAGCCGUGCCCUACGCCUACGAUGGCUCUAG
rnacentral:rRNA from 1 species